rnacentral:rRNA from 1 species
UACGGAGGGGGCAAGCGUUGUCCGGAUUUAUUGGGCGUAAAGAGCGUGUAGGCGGUUUGGUAGGUCCGCUGUGAAAACUCGAGGCUCAACCUCGAGACGCCGGUGGAAACCAUCAGACUAGAGUCCGGAAGAGGAGAGUGGAAUUCCUGGUGUAGCGGUGAAAUGCGCAGAUAUCAGGAAGAACACCCGUGGCUAAGGCGGCUCUCUAGUACGGUACUGACGCUGAGACGCGAAAGCGUGGGGAGCGAACAGG